rnacentral:rRNA from 1 species
UGGGGAAUAUUGGACAAUGGGGGCAACCCUGAUCCAGCGAUGCCGCGUGAGUGAAGAAGGCCUUCGGGUCGUAAAGCUCUUUAGGUUGGGAAGAAGGUUGGUUGAGGAAAUGCGAUCAAUUUGACGGUACCGACAGAAUAAGCACCGGCAAACUCUGUGCCAGCAGCCGCGGUAAUACAGAGGGUGCAAGCGUUAAUCGGAGUUACUGGGCGUAAAGGGCGCGUAGGCGGUAUUAUGUGUGUGAUGUGAAAGCCCCGGGCUUAACCUGGGAAGUGCAUCGCAAACUGUAAAACUAGAGUAGAUGAGAGGGUGAUGGAAUUUCCGGUGUAGCGGUGAAAUGCGUAGAGAUCGGAAGGAACGUCAAUGGCGAAGGCAGUCACCUGGCAUCAUACUGACGCUGAGGCGCGAAAGCGUGGGGAGCGAACA